rfam:Parcubacteria (Yanofskybacteria) bacterium GW2011_GWB1_45_11 TW90_C0008, whole genome shotgun sequence.
GCCGGGGUGGCGAAAUUGGCAACCGCAGGUGACUUAAAAUCACCCGCUCGCAAGGGCUUGAGGGUUCGAGUCCCUCUCCCGGCA